GAUGAACGCUGGCGGCGUGCCUAAUACAUGCAAGUCGAGCGAACGGACGAGAAGCUUGCUUCUCUGAUGUUAGCGGCGGACGGGUGAGUAACACGUGGAUAACCUACCUAUAAGACUGGGAUAACUUCGGGAAACCGGAGCUAAUACCGGAUAAUAUUUUGAACCGCAUGGUUCAAAAGUGAAAGACGGUCUUGCUGUCACUUAUAGAUGGAUCCGCGCUGCAUUAGCUAGUUGGUAAGGUAACGGCUUACCAAGGCAACGAUGCAUAGCCGACCUGAGAGGGUGAUCGGCCACACUGGAACUGAGACACGGUCCAGACUCCUACGGGAGGCAGCAGUAGGGAAUCUUCCGCAAUGGGCGAAAGCCUGACGGAGCAACGCCGCGUGAGUGAUGAAGGUCUUCGGAUCGUAAAACUCUGUUAUUAGGGAAGAACAUAUGUGUAAGUAACUGUGCACAUCUUGACGGUACCUAAUCAGAAAGCCACGGCUAACUACGUGCCAGCAGCCGCGGUAAUACGUAGGUGGCAAGCGUUAUCCGGAAUUAUUGGGCGUAAAGCGCGCGUAGGCGGUUUUUUAAGUCUGAUGUGAAAGCCCACGGCUCAACCGUGGAGGGCCAUUGGAAACUGGAAAACUUGAGUGCAGAAGAGGAAAGUGGAAUUCCAUGUGUAGCGGUGAAAUGCGCAGAGAUAUGGAGGAACACCAGUGGCGAAGGCGACUUUCUGGUCUGUAACUGACGCUGAUGUGCGAAAGCGUGGGGAUCAAACAGGAUUAGAUACCCUGGUAGUCCACGCCGUAAACGAUGAGUGCUAAGUGUUAGGGGGUUUCCGCCCCUUAGUGCUGCAGCUAACGCAUUAAGCACUCCGCCUGGGGAGUACGACCGCAAGGUUGAAACUCAAAGGAAUUGACGGGGACCCGCACAAGCGGUGGAGCAUGUGGUUUAAUUCGAAGCAACGCGAAGAACCUUACCAAAUCUUGACAUCCUUUGACAACUCUAGAGAUAGAGCUUUCCCCUUCGGGGGACAAAGUGACAGGUGGUGCAUGGUUGUCGUCAGCUCGUGUCGUGAGAUGUUGGGUUAAGUCCCGCAACGAGCGCAACCCUUAAGCUUAGUUGCCAUCAUUAAGUUGGGCACUCUAAGUUGACUGCCGGUGACAAACCGGAGGAAGGUGGGGAUGACGUCAAAUCAUCAUGCCCCUUAUGAUUUGGGCUACACACGUGCUACAAUGGACAAUACAAAGGGCAGCGAAACCGCGAGGUCAAGCAAAUCCCAUAAAGUUGUUCUCAGUUCGGAUUGUAGUCUGCAACUCGACUACAUGAAGCUGGAAUCGCUAGUAAUCGUAGAUCAGCAUGCUACGGUGAAUACGUUCCCGGGUCU
rnacentral:rRNA from 1 species